UUGCCCUGUUGGAUGAGUAGGCACCUCUGGAAGAGCCAACUGUGUGAGAUGGUGCAGCCUAGUGGUGGCCCGGCAGCAGAUCAGGACGUGCUGGGUGAAGACUCUCCUCUGGGGAAGCCAGCCAUGCUGCACCUGCCUUCAGAACAGGGCGCUCCUGAGACCCUCCAGCGCUGCCUGGAGGAGAAUCAAGAGCUCCGAGGGAAUGCAGCUGGAAGAUCUCAAACAGCAGCUCCAGCAGGCCGAGGAGGCCCUGGUGGCCAAACAGGAGGUGAUCGAUAAGCUGAA
rnacentral:sRNA from 1 species